rnacentral:rRNA from 1 species
UACGUAGGGGGCUAGCGUUGUCCGGAAUCAUUGGGCGUAAAGCGCGUGUAGGCGGCCCGGUAAGUCCGCUGUGAAAGUCGGGGGCUCAACCCUCGGAAGCCGGUGGAUACUGUCGGGCUCGAGUACGGAAGAGGCGAGUGGAAUUCCUGGUGUAGCGGUGAAAUGCGCAGAUAUCAGGAGGAACACCGGUGGCGAAGGCGGGUCUCUGGGCCGAUGACUGACGCUGAGGAGCGAAAGCGUGGGGAGCGAACAGGA